rnacentral:rRNA from 1 species
GACAGAGGAUGCAAGCGUUAUCCGGAAUGAUUGGGCGUAAAGCGUCUGUAGGUGGCUUUUUAAGUCUGCCGUCAAAUCCCAGGGCUUAACCCUGGACAGGCGGUGGAAACUACCAAGCUGGAGUACGGUAGGGGCAGGGGGAAUUUCCGGUGGAGCGGUGAAAUGCGUAGAUAUCGGGAGGAACACCAAUGGCGAAGGCAGCUUGCUGGGACGGUACUGACGCUGAGGCGCGAAAGCGUGGGGAGCAAACAGG